GACGAACGCUGGCGGCGUGCUUAACACAUGCAAGUCGAACGGUGAAGGGGCCUGCUUUUGUGGGCCCUGGAUGAGUGGCGAACGGGUGAGUAACACGUGAGUAACCUGCCCCCUUCUUCUGGAUAACCGCAUGAAAGUGUGGCUAAUACGGGAUAUUCUGGGUCUGUCGCAUGAUGGGUCUGGGAAAGAUUGCGCCUUUGGGGGGUUUUGGUGGGGGAUGGGCUCGCGGCCUAUCAGCUUGUUGGUGGGGUGAUGGCCUACCAAGGCGGUGACGGGUAGCCGGGCUGAGAGGGUGGACGGUCACACUGGGACUGAGACACGGCCCAGACUGCUACGGGAGGCAGCAGUGGGGUAUAUUGCACAAUGGGCGCAAGCCUGAUGCAGCGACGCCGCGUGAGGGAGGGAGGCCUUCGGGUUGUAAACCUCUUUCGCCAGUGAAGCAGGCCUGCUCCUUGUGGGUGGGUUGACGGUAGCUGGAGAAGAAGCGCCGGCUAACUACGUG
rnacentral:rRNA from 1 species